GAUGGUGACCAGCUAGCAGCACCUCACCCAAGCUCUGCUCACUUACAGCCUCACCAGGGCACUCUUUUCCCUAAUCCAUCAUGCCGUUGAAAGGGAAAAACAAGGUGAUAUAGUGAUACUGAGAGGAGGGAGUUGGCUGGUGCUAGAGCAGCAGAAGCUCUGAGGAGAAGCCAGCAGGCAAAUUUCCCACUGGAUGCCCACUUUCUGGCUGCAGGGCAGAGAGCACCUCCCAAAAACAAGACCAGCAAGGAGAAAGAGGAAAUCUAAGGAAAUCAAAGAUAAAGAAGAAAGUUUGCCUAUUCUGCUGGUCACUCCAACACUGAAGGAGGAAGUUGGGAGUAUGGGACAAAGAUCUUUGUAAUCUCUGGCAAGAGCACAGUGGAACUUAUGAGUAAAAGUGCAUGUGAUCAGUCUGCAUUAGUGCAUUCUAAUGAUUGCUUAUAUCAAAAUAUAUGAUGAUACUGAAAACUUCCAAAGCACAUUAUCUGAGCAA